rnacentral:pre_miRNA from 1 species
CAUGGACCAAUGGGGUCCCUCGGCUUGGCCUGCGUCCUCUCGCAAUCUGGUACCCCUCAGGGGAUGUCGGUUUCAGCCUGAUCCCCCGCAGGCCAGGCCGAGGGACCCCACUGGUGCACA